GGCCGUCGGGCAUUCCUAUAUAAAGGGGCCGCUGUCAGCCAGGUACUCAUCUCUCAUUUCAUCCUUUUUGAUGGGAGAGCUUUGUCAGAGAGCCGCUCUCGAGUAAAAACUGUUCUUUGUUAUUUUUCAGAGCCUCCCAAAUGGUUUUGAUGGGUGAGGUUCUUGCAGGGGAUGGUUGGUUGGAGAUUCCAACCGACAACUCCCUGUUGGACCCGAAGAUUUUUCUGUUAUGUGGUCUGAUUG
rnacentral:lncRNA from 1 species